rnacentral:rRNA from 1 species
AAUCGCAGAUCAGCAUGCUGCGGUGAAUACGUUCCCGGGCCUUGUACACACCGCCCGUCACACCAUGGGAGUCGGUAACACCCGAAGCCUGUAGUCUAACCGCAAGGAGGACGCAGUCGAAGGUGGGAUUGAUGACUGGGGUGAAGUCGUAACAAGGUACC